rnacentral:rRNA from 1 species
ACGGGAGGCAGCAGUGAGGAAUAUUGGUCAAUGGGCGUAAGCCUGAACCAGCCAAGUAGCGUGAAGGAUGACGGCCCUACGGGUUGUAAACUUCUUUUGCCGGGGGAUAAAACGCGCCACGUGUGGCGCCUUGCAGGUACCCGUGCGAAUAAGGACCGGCUAAUUCCGUGCCAGCAGCCGCGGUAAUACGGAAGGUCCGAGCGUUAUCCGGAUUUAUUGGGUUUAAAGGGUGCGCAGGCGGCUUUUUAAGUCAGUGGUUAAAUCGUGACGCUCAACGUCAUCACGCCAUUGAUACUGGAGAGCUUGAUUGCGGUCGAGGUUUGCGGAAUUCGUUGUGUAGCGGUGAAAUGCAUAGAUAUGACGAAGAACACCGAUUGCGUAGGCAGCAGACCAGGCCGUAAAUGACGCUCAUGCACGAAAGUGCGGGGAUCGAACAGGAUUAGAUACCCUGGUA